AACAGGAUUAGAUACCCUGGUAGUCCACGCCGUAAACUAUGGAUGCUAGCUGUAAGAAGUAUCGACCCUUCUUGUAGCGAAGCUAACGCGUUAAGCAUCCCGCCUGUGGAGUACGGUCGCAAGACUAAAACAUAAAGGAAUUGACGGGGACCCGCACAAGCGGGGGAGCGUGUUGUUUAAUUCGAUGGUAAGCGAAGAACCUUACCCAGGCUUGACAUCCUGUGAAGGUCUCCGAAAGGAGACUGUGCCUUCGGGAAUACAGUGACAGGUGAUGCAUGGCCGUCGUCAGCUCGUGUCGUGAGAUGUUUGGUUAAGUCCAUCAACGAGCGCAACCCUUGUAGUUAGUUGUAUUUUUCUAGCUAGACUGCCCUGGUAACAGGGAGGAAGGGGGGGAUGAUGUCAGGUCAGUAUUUCCCUUACGUCUGGGGCUACAAACACGCUACAAUGGCCGGUACAAAGGGCAGCCAAAGCGCAAGCUGGAGCAAAUCCCAUCAAAGCCGGUCCCAGUUCGGAUAGCAGGCUGAAACUCGCCUGCUUGAAGAUGGAAUCGCUAGUAACGGUAGGUCAGCACACUACCGUGAAUACGUUCCCGGGUCUUGUACACACCGCCCGUCAAACCAUGAAAGUCGCCAAUACCUGACGUGUUAGCUUUGCCUAGCCCUAAGGUAGGGGAGAUGAUUGGGGUUAAGUCGUAACAAGGUAACC
rnacentral:rRNA from 1 species